rnacentral:rRNA from 1 species
ACUCCUACGGGAGGCAGCAGUAAGGAAUCUUCCACAAUGGGCGCAAGCCUGAUGGAGCAACACCGCGUGAGUGAAGAAGGGUUUCGGCUCGUAAAGCUCUGUUGUUAAAGAAGAACACGUAUGAGAGUAACUGUUCAUACGUUGACGGUAUUUAACCAGAAAGUCACGGCUAACUACGUGCCAGCAGCCGCGGUAAUACGUAGGUGGCAAGCGUUAUCCGGAUUUAUUGGGCGUAAAGAGAGUGCAGGCGGUUUUCUAAGUCUGAUGUGAAAGCCUUCGGCUUAACCGGAGAAGUGCAUCGGAAACUGGAUAACUUGAGUGCAGAAGAGGGUAGUGGAACUCCAUGUGUAGCGGUGGAAUGCGUAGAUAUAUGGAAGAACACCAGUGGCGAAGGCGGCUACCUGGUCUGCAACUGACGCUGAGACUCGAAAGCAUGGGUAGCGAACAGGAUUAGAUACCCUGGUAGGAUAGCC